GACGAACGCUGGCGGCGUGCUUAACACAUGCAAGUCGAACGGAAACGCUCCAGCUUGCUCCUGUACUCGAGUGGCGAACGGGUGAGUAACACGUGGGGACUCUUCCCUUCAUUGUGGGAUACGCCUCGAAAACUGGAUUUAUUACUCGAUCUGACCACUCUCCAUAGGGGGUUUGGUUGAGAGCUCUCCCGUUUAGGAUGACCCCGCGGCCUAUCAGCUGGUUGGGGGGGUGAAGGCCUACCAAGCCGAGGACGGGUAGCCGGCCUGAGAGGAGGAUCGGCCACAUUGGGACUGAGACACGGCCAAGACGACUGCGGGAGGCAGCAGUGGGGAAUGGGGGACAAUGGGCGAAAGUAUGACCCAGUAAGGCCGCGUGUGUGAAGAAGGCGUGCGGGUGGGAAAGCACUUGUGGGCGGAAAGAAACUCUUUAAGCUAAGACAGCGGGGAAAUGACGGUACCGGAAGAAGAAGCACCGGCUAACUAUGUG
rnacentral:rRNA from 1 species